UUGGGAAGAUCUACAUGGCGGAUCUUCAUUUUGUUGAUGAAAAUAAUCCAUAACCAAUCUAUAAAUGAAAAUCUGGGUGAGUUUAUUCUGAGCUUAAAUUUUAGGAUUAUAACCCGGGAGAGUCUUUCCACAAAGGAACAGAGCACUCCAAAGAAGUGGGGGUAUAAGGGUGGUUAUAUACCCUCAAAGAGGGUGUUUCACAUAGGAUUGAAAUGUCCCUCCCACAAUAGUCACAAGACUGCUCUGUCGGCACAGCCAUUGAUGAAAAUAGCAGGUAGGUCUUCUGUCUCAGUGAACACAGCAGGGUGGCAGCCUGUUGUCUCCAGCUGAGUGGUCACAGGUGAGCUGGGUGGUCAAAGAUUAGCCCUGAGCUAACUACUGCCAGUCCUCCUCUUUUUGCUGAGGAAGACCGGCCCUGAGCUAACAUCUGUGCCCAUCUUCCUCCUCUUUAUAUGUGGGAUGCCUACCACAGCAUGGCAUGCCAAGCGGUGCCAUGUCUGCACCAGGGAUCCAAACCGGCAAACCCCAGGCCACUGAGAAGUGAAUGUGCGAACUUAACCACUGCACCACCGGGCCAGCCCCUGGAGUUAAGAAAACCUUUUUCUCUAUUCUCUUAAAGAACUAUGACUUACAGCAAUUUAUAAACAAAAUUGAAACAUUCGUCUUUUCUUCACUACCUGAGCCCUCCAAAACGUAAAAACCCCUGAUGAGACACAAUUGGAAACACUGCUUAUAUUACCAAGGCUUUGACUGGAACAUCAUAUUUAAAAAAACAUACGGGCUUGGAUAUAACAAGACAGCUUUUGAGGAACGAAGGUUGACAUUCUGGAAUAAAGCCACUUGGAAAUAUUGGGCUGGUACUGUGCUUAUGGGUUCUGUAGCCUGAAAAACUUCUUAUUAAACACCUGGUUACUUACCUACAUGACACAGGCCUAACUUCAGGAGCCCACCAGCAUCACUGCCUUAUUAAAAGACUAGUUCAAUGAGAUGAAACAACCUAUGCCCCAUUUCAACAGGAAGUAGCUAUAUCAGUCACUGUCCCAAAUCCCUCAAGAUUGAGGCAUGGACAUAAAAUAGGGGAGAGUUGAUAUCAACCCUGAUAUCAGUUUCCCCACGUUAAACCCAGCAUAUAUGGGGUUAAAAACAAAACACUCAUUCCUAUCUUACUCUCUGGUUUCCUGGCUCCAGAAUCCACUAUCCUCCAUGGAGACAGACACCACCAAGGAGAGGCACCUGGAUUAUCUCCUCCCCACAAAGAGAUACAGGCUGGUGGGAAAGUUGCUGACCAUCAAGGUCAUGGGCUCCCUCCUCUCUGCAAGUGGUCUCAAGGCCAAAGACAGGCUAGGUGGGAAAGCUCUGACCAGCAAGGCCUUAUGCUCUCUCUUCCCUACCUAAAACCCCAAAUAAAAACCCUUCCUUUUAGCUUUUUGGGGAGUUUGGGAUUUCAGCAUUAGCUGCCCUCUCUCCUUGCUCAGUGCUGUGCAAAAAUAAAAUUUCUACUUUCUUCCACCACA
rnacentral:lncRNA from 1 species